AGAGCGAACGCUGGCGGCGUGCCUAACACAUGCAAGUCGCACGAGAAAGGGGCUUCGGCCCUGAGUAAAGUGGCGCACGGGUGAGUAACACGUGAAUCAUCUACCUCCGAGUGGGGAAUAACCUAGAGAAAUCUGGGCUAAUACCGCAUAACACUUACGAGUCAAAGCAGCAAUGCGCUUGGAGAGGAGUUCGCGGCAGAUUAGUUAGUUGGCGGGGUAAUGGCCCACCAAGACGAUGAUCU
rnacentral:rRNA from 1 species